rnacentral:rRNA from 1 species
UACGUAGGGGGCAAGCGUUGUCCGGAAUUAUUGGGCGUAAAGAGCGUGUAGGCGGUCCGAUAAGUCGGCUGUGAAAGUCCAGGGCUCAACCCUGGGAUGCCGGUCGAUACUGUCGGACUAGAGUUCGGAAGAGGCGAGUGGAAUUCCCGGUGUAGCGGUGAAAUGCGCAGAUAUCGGGAGGAACACCUAUGGCGAAGGCAGCUCGCUGGGACGUUACUGACGCUGAGGAGCGAAAGCCAGGGGAGCAAACGGG